UUAAAAUGUAAAUGAGUUUACUAAAGUAGUAUUAGUUAUGUUCUUCAAACUUAAAAAAUUUGGCGGUAUUUUAGUCUAUUCAGAGGAAUCUGUUCUAUAAUCGAUAAUCCGCGUUGGACCUUUCUUGAGUUUGUUUUUCAGUUUAUAUACCGUCGUUAUAAGAAUAUUUUAUAAGAAUAAUAAUUUUCUUGAUAUUUAAUUAAAUAGUAUAUCAGAUCAAGGUGUAGCUUAUAUUUAAGUAGAAAUGGAUUACAUUAAAUUUAUUUAGUUGGAUAUAAUUAUGAAAAAAUUAUUGAAAUUGGAUUUGAUAGUAAAUUUAUAUAGAUUGAUAAAUUGAUUUUAGCUCUAAAAUAUGU
rnacentral:rRNA from 1 species